UACGUAGGGUGCGAGCGUUGUCCGGAAUUAUUGGGCGUAAAGAGCUCGUAGGCGGUCUGUCGCGUCUGCUGUGAAAUCCCGGGGCUCAACCCCGGGCUUGCAGUGGAUACGGGCAGACUAGAGUUCGGUAGGGGAGACUGGAAUUCCUGGUGUAGCGGUGAAAUGCGCAGAUAUCAGGAGGAACACCGGUGGCGAAGGCGGGUCUCUGGGCCGAUACUGACGCUGAGGAGCGAAAGCGUGGGGAGCGAACAGG
rnacentral:rRNA from 1 species